rnacentral:rRNA from 1 species
GAACCUGCAGAUAGGCAUGUCGAUAAGCCGAGGAGAUCCGUACUCUGAAAUGCAGAGACGCCUGAGUACUAUAUAAUAGUUAAAACUUUCAACAACGGAUCUCUUGGUUCUGGCAUCGAUGAAGAACGCAGCGAAAUGCGAUAAGUAAUGUGAAUUGCAGAAUUCAGUGAAUCAUCGAAUCUUUGAACGCACAUUGCGCCCCUUGGUAUUCCGGGGGGCAUGCCUGUUCGAGCGUCAUUACAACCCUCAAGCUCUGCUUGGUAUUGGGCGUCCCCGGCGACGGGGUGCCCUAAAAUCAGUGGCGGUGCCGUCUGGCUCUAAGCGUAGUAAAUCUCUCGCUCUGGAUGCCCGGUGGAUGCUCGCCAGAACCCCCCAUUUUUACAGGUUGACCUCGGAUCAGGUAGGGAUACCCGCUGAACUUAAGCAUAUCAAUAGCCCG